CCAAUGCUGUCCCGCCCCCACACACACACUGUGAGGCAGUUGGUUCCAAGGUCUCCAAGCGCCUUGCACAAGAGAUGCAUGUGGUUCGUGGGGGUGAGAGCAUCUGGGUUCUCACUGGUGUGGGAUCUUUUAGGCAUCUCUCUGCUCAACAGUGAUAAACAAUAACAAUUAUUAUUGGCAUGAAGAGUCACAUCACGGCUAGGUAACGAAUGUACCAAGAUAAGAAGUCAAGCUGUAAUUUCAGUCCUGCUAUCUUUCCAAAGAACAUGCAGCCAAGAUAACCUUACCAUGCAGUACGAUAGCCUCCUGCAAAAGCUGGGGCAGGGAGUGUUCUCACUGGGGAGGCCUCCUUUGCUCACAGGAGGUGCAAAAACAGGCAGUAAGAAGACCUACUUCAAGUCCAGGCUCCACUAACAACCAGAUUCAAAAAGAGAAUUCAUCGCUUUCAAACUACUGGUUCAGGGCGCCUGCUUCCCUCCCAAGACCAAAUGGAGCGGCAAGCCACAUACUUCAGAGUCUGACAUGAAGUUACUGGAAGAUGAUCAUCAUUCCAUCUGAGAAAGAUGACUGAACAAGGUAUCUAAGGGAGUCAUUGAAGGUAUGGACCUAAUGCUUACAACUUGGAGGCGCCAGAAAGAAAGUACAGAAGAGGCAGCGGUCAGCCCCCACUGACCCCAAGGACUCCAGCCAUUCACCCAAUAAGUGUUGAAGGACACGUGGCAAAUAUCUUGGAUUUUUCUCUGUUCCGUGAGAAGGGUGAUCUCCCCCAAAUUAAGACCUGAAAAUGGAGCAGCAGCUGUAGAUGCUUUUGCAGCAUCCAGAUUACGAUCUUAGAGCUCUUCCCAAAGAAACCUCUGUAGCUCUGAGGAAACUCCACGCUUGGGGCAACCAAAGGAAGUGCCUUUGCAACCGCACAACAUGCAAUGGAACCACAGAAACGAAAAAAAAAAAGCCACUUCCGGUAUAUUUUCUGAAGCAUUUCGCUUAAAAGGAGAUCUAGAAAGAAACAGCAGGAAAAACACAGAGCAAAACAGCUCCUUGACAACAGAGGAGAAUGUUCAGGGCUGCAGGGGUCAUUUGCAUUGACUUCAUACAUCUCUCCAUUAUCCUGAUAAUAAAGGACAUAAUUUCAGCAUUUUCUAAGAGAGCAAAAAUGCAUUCCUCCUUUCUCCAGCCAACAGUUUUCUGAAGUAAUUCCACGGUGGGCUCACAGGACACCCCCACCCCCUUCCCUGCCCUCGACCUGCUUCCUAGGGAUGGAUUAGAGGCCCCAGCAACUGCAUAGUUUUACGUUUCUCUGAACCACAAAAAAAAUUAAAAGGAUCCCAGGUGGAAUAAACUUGUUCAGCAAAGAACCACGUAAAAGUGAAAUCGCUUCUAGAGAGCUCUCUCAGAGCUUAAUGAAUGGGACUCCAUUUCUCAAUCGAAAAUUCUGAUCAAAUGGGAAGCCUUUCAGAGGUUCCUGCUGAAAACCCACUCUGCUGGCCUUGCAACCAGGAGCUGGAGUGGAGUAUUGGGGAGCAGAGGAAGCUAUGUUAGACAGUGGAAUAGUGGAACUGAGAAAAUACUGGAAUAUGAGCCACAGAGGGAGAGUAAAGCACAGCUCAACCUACAGGAAUUGCUGAUAUGAGUUGGGCUUCACAUGGUAAAGAAUCCGCCU